ACUAAGUAUUAAUACAUAAAUGGAAUUUGAGAAGGCGAGUUUGAUUAUAUUCUCGCCAAAUAUAAUGCGGAAUUGCGGAGGCUAUUGCGAAUGACGUUUAACUCAGCCAAACGGCUGGGCAAGAUGUGCUAAUAUGCGGAGGCUUCACGCACUCCACAUAACCCAAGGAGCUAAUUUUUCUGCAGGAUGGGCUGAAAUCAUUAGAAGCUACCUCUCCCAUGGCUUUGCCAUGGAAGCGCUUCUUGUCUACACCCAAAAUCUACCAUUUAGAACUCAACAAUCCUUUCUUCCUCUCAUUCUUAAGAUAUGCGCCUCCCAUUAUCUUCUUGUGCUUGGCAAAUCUCUACAUUCAGAGUCAAUCAAAGCCGGUACUGUUCAUGAACUUCUCACUGGGACAACAUUAGUGUCAAUGUAUGGCAAAUGCAAAAAAAUAACUCUUGCUCGGAAGGUGUUUGAUGAAAUGCCUGUUAAAAAUUUAGUCACAUACAAUUCCAUGAUUGGGGGCUACUCUAUGAAUGGUGAUCUAGUAUCUGCUUCUGCACUCUUCCAUUUGGCUCCUGGAAGGACACCGGUGACAUGGGCUGUGAUGAUUGAAGGCUAUGCAGGGAUUGAGAAUCUCGUGGCUGCUAGACAAAUGUUUAAUUCAACCCCACCAUGGAUGAAGACUGUUGUUACAUGGACUGUCAUGAUCCAUGGUUAUGCUGCCAAUGGUGAGAUGGAUGCUGCGAGGGAAUUGUUUGAGGAAAUGCCAGUCAAGAAUGCAUUUGUCUGGUCAUCUAUGAUCACUGGAUACUUCAAGAAGGGUGAUGCUCCCGAGGCAAAAGCUCUGUUUAAUCGAAUUCAAACCCCAAAUUUGAUCAAUUGGAAUUCAUUGAUUGCAGGGUAUGCAAAGUUGGGAUUUUGUGAUGAGGCUUUGGAAGCUUUUAGACAAAUGCAAGGGUUUGGAAUUGAACCAGAUGAGUUUACAGUUUCAAGUGUAUUAUCGACUUGUUCGCAGCUUGGUUCCAUAGAUUCUGCCAGAGAAGUACAUGAUUUUAUUCGAAGGAAGAAGAUCAAGAUGAACAUUUUUGUCAAGAAUGGUCUGGUUGAUAUGUAUGCAAAGUGCGGGGACCUUGACAAAGCUCGAGGAAUCUUUGAUGCAAUGAUUAUAAGGAAUGAUUCAUGCUGGAAUUCAAUGAUAUCUGGUCUCGCUUCUCACGGACGGAGUGAUGAAGCUCUUGAGCUCUUUUCUCAGAUGGAAGCAUCCGAAGUGAAGCCUAAUUCAGUCACGUUUCUUGUGGUUCUUUCUGCUUGCACACAUGCAGGAUUUGUGGAGCAAGGUCUACAGAUUUUUGGGAGAAUGCACAAAUAUGGUUUGAAGGCCGGAGUGGAGCAUUAUGGCUGUUUGGUUGAUCUCUUUAGUAGAGCAGGCAGGCUAGCUGAUGCUUAUAAUGUAAUCAAGAUGAUGCCAAUGAAGCCUAAUGAGGUGGUCUGGGGGACUUUGCUUGGUGCAUGCAGAGUUUAUUUAGAUAUGGAGAUGGCAGAUCAGGUGGUUCUUGAAGCAAACAACAAAAAUAUCAGCAUUUCUUCAGUUAAUGAUGCAGAGUAUGUCUUGCUGUCAAAUAUUUAUGCUGCAUCAGAAAAAUGGGAGAGAGCUGAGAAUAUAAGGAGGAAGAUGGUGGAAAAUAAGUUAUCUAAGACACCAGGCUGCAGUAGAAUUGGAUUAGGGGAGACGAAACAACAAUCUAAUGUUGCCUUUAGCUUGGAAUCUCAGGUUUGUCGAUCAUAAGAUGUAGGUCUGAUGCGGCCUUGAAUAAAAAAUUAAGUGGAAGAAAGCAGGUCGUGAAGUUGGAUUGUGAAGAUCACAAGCCGAAGGGAUUAAUGGAAUUGUGAUUCUUAACACCUAAUCCUUCUCUAUUAAAUGAUGAAGAUACCCAUUGGAGGGAAGUAACGAUAAUAUAUUAAUGACUGGGCAGUUUUUUUCAUUUUUGAAGUGAAGCAGAUGCUGAUUAGAACCCUUCAAGGCGUCAUAGAUUUGAGGGAGUUGAACAAAUUUAUCUUCAAACCCUAGUCAAUGGCCUUGGGCAUAGCAACAAUCUUCUUUCCAUGGUCAUGGAUAACUUUUCAGUUUUCAAUUCUCUUGACUAUGACAUCCAAAUCUUUGGAAGUUCUUAGUCUCCACAUGUGGUUUCCCGUAAUGCUAUGAUCAGAUGCUUCACUCAAAAUGGACAUGAAUUUGAUACCUUUAGAAGUUACAACAAAAUGAGAAUUUUCGGUGUUUCUCUUAACGACUUCACCUUUACUGUUCUGCUGAAAGCCUGCAGACUUCUUGUGCGCCUGAGUUGUUGUAAGCAGAUUCAUGCUCAAUUGGUUAAGUAUGGACUUGGGUCUCCAUGGUUUGUACCUAUUUGAAUCGUUGGGAUAAUUGUUGGACUUGAUACCAAUAAGGAACAUAAAGUCAUGGAAUUUGAUUAUUACAGCUCUUUUAAAGGCUUGAGGCAUGGCUCUUACCUGGUCUUUCUUUAACCAGAUGGAAAUGAGGAACACCAUUCAUGGAAUGCUAGCUAUAAUCACAGGAUAUACAGCUGUUAGUGAUGUUAAGUUUGAGAACUUCAUCUUUGAGCAACUAUGGAACAAAGAUGUUGUUUCAUGGACAGCCAUGAUUGUUGCUAAUGCCAAUGCUGGGAACAUGGAAUCUGACAGGGAACUGUAUGAUAUAAUGCCAUUUAAGAAAGUUUUCUCAUGAAAUGCAAUAGUGUCAGGCUAUAUUAAAAGUUCUUAGUUUGAUAAAGCAUUGGCAUUAUUUCAUUUGAUGCUGCUGGAUGGAACAUGCUUGCAAGAUGAGGCCACUCUGUCUUGACACAGCAGCUGUUCUUCCUCUUGGAACCUUGUGCUUGUGCUAUUUGCCAUGCCAGGGGCUCUUGCUUUCGCAGUCUUCAUUUUCUGAUCUGGAGAACAUAAUAAAGCUCCAGAAUCAAGCAUAUCUGGAUUCUCUGCUUUGACAUCUUCAAGCUCCUCCUUUCCACCAUGCAAUCCUCCAAGAAGAGAUUGCUUAAUGGCUAAAGGAAAAUUCUGAGUUAUGAUUGUCUCUAGCACUGCAAGAUAGUGCUGUUCCAGUAAUUAUGCACCUGAAAGUGCUUCUGCUUGAUUGUUGUUCUAAACAAAUAAUUUAGAGAUGUAUUUUGCAUGGGAGUUUUCGGGGUACUUGUCACCGGGUGACGUGGUGCGUCCAGAUUUGUCUCUGGACGGUCCGGACACCACAUAAUAAUCUCUCACUUGGGAAAAUUAUUACGUGCGGUGUCCGGAUGCACCUCUGGACGGUCCGGAUACCGCACGUAAUAACUCUCACCUGGGAAAAUUAUUACGUGCCGUGUCCGGAUUCAUUUAGAGGAAAAUCCGGACGUGCAAUGUCACCUAGGGCCCGGUGCAUCCGGAUGAUGUGGCGCGUCCGAUUCACCUAUGAACGGUCUCGCACGUAAUAAUCUCUCCACCACCUGAUGGCUAAUGUUCUGUAUUUGUCAUCAGAUGAUGUCAUACAAGCUCUCAAUGUCUUUUCUAUUGGAAUUUUUUGAGCCUGAAUAUUUCUCUUGAUUAAAGCUUCUGCAUUAGAAGGCAGA